AAAACCUGACCCAUAUAAAUGCUGUCUACAAGACACCCACUUCAGAACAAAAGACUCAGGCAGGAUGA